UCGCACCUACCGAUUGGAUGGUCCGGUGAGAAUUUCGGACUGUUAUUUAUCCUCCUUAAUUGGAGAUAAACGAAUAGGAAGUUAUUCAAACCUUACCAUCUAGAGGAAGGUG
rnacentral:rRNA from 1 species